CGCCUGUUUUUCAAAAACAUCGCCUCUUGCUAAACCGAAAGUAUAAGAGGUCCCGCCUGCCCUGUGACUAUAUGUUUAACGGCCGCGGUAUUUUGACCGUGCGAAGGUAGCGCAAUCACUUGUCUUUUAAAUGGGGACCUGUAUGAAUGGCAUAACGAGGGCUUAACUGUCUCCUCUUUCAAGUCAAUGAAAUUGAUCUCCCCGUGCAGAAGCGAGGAUAAAUACAUAAGACGAGAAGACCCUAUGGAGCUUUAGACACUAAAGCAGGUCAGUAUUAAUACCCUGAACAUAGGCUACGAAUAAACUGACCCCUGCCCUAAUGUCUUUGGUUGGGGCGACCGCGGAGAAAAAUAAAACCCCCGCAAGGAUUAAAUGUACUACAUUCACAAACAAGAGCGACAGCUCUAACUAACAGAACUUCUGACCAAUAAGAUCCGGCAAUGCCGAUCAAUGAACCGAGUUACCCUAGGGAUAACAGCGCAAUCUCCUCUUAGAGCCCA
rnacentral:rRNA from 1 species